CCACGGAUCACGUGUCGUCACCGUUGGAUUGCUUAGAUCGAACGAUUGUGGUCAUGCAGGUGCCCUAUCCUUAUCUCCUCCCUCUUAACCGCUGCACACCCAACCAUUGAAGCCGCCAAAUGCCACGCCGCUAGCCAGAGGGCCUCAUGUCGCCGCCGCUCACCGAUUUAUCUGUAGGUCGCUGAUGCAACCCUGGCCCCGGGCCAUUCCUUCCUCCCAUCAGGCUCGCGGAGGCCUGAGAAGGCGGCCAUGACGGGCGCGCAGCCGCCGAUGCCAUGGGCAGAUCCAGCCGGGUCUGUCGGCACCCAUCCCUCCCUUCAGCGGCCAUGAAGAACCGAAGAGGCAUGACCAGCGAUGCCAUGGGCUGAUCCAGCCGGGUCAGCCGGGUCAGUGGACCAUGCAGGCCUGCUGCGCUAGGAGCCACCAGUCCUCGUCAUCAACUAGAAUCCACGAGAAAUCGAUCCAUAUAGAUGAACCUAUUGUCGAUAAUGAAGAGUUAGUAAGGUAAGUUUUUGAUUGCAAGAGAAUUGAUGAUGAUUUUUCUUCAUGAUACUUAAUUACUUGGCUUAAUCUUUUGUAAGUUAGAGUCUUUUCUUCCAUAUUCCAAAAUUAUAUUUGUGUACAUUUAAUCACAUAACUGCAAGGUCCAUUUAUCAUUUACAGAUUCAAAAGAAGCAUAACUGAGUGGCAGCUGAAUUCUUCGGUUGGAUGAAGAAGCAAAUAUAAUUAGAAGAUUUAGCUUAGCAGUAACCAUAGUUUACAGUGAUAGAUUGAGAAAUGUAAUACCAUUCAGGAGAUGUUUUUCUUUGGCCGAAUUGAUGCAAAUGUUCUGGUGUAAUAUUCAUCAUAGAUUUGUUCUCUAUUGUGAAAUUGAUACAAAUGCUAUGAUGUUCAUCCAAUAAAAUUAGUAUUUAUGUAUCGUAAUGUAUAUGUAUCCUACACUCUUAUAUAUUCAUAAUAAAUACCUUGAUAUUUUCAAUU